GCGGUUCAGGUUGCGGUGGUGUU
rnacentral:siRNA from 1 species